rnacentral:rRNA from 1 species
ACGGGGUGCAGCAGGCGCGAAAACUUCACACUGCAGGAAACUGUGAUGAGGGAACUCCUAGUGCAUGCACAUUGUGUAUGCUUUUAUUGACUUUUAAUCGGUCAAUGAAUAAGGGCUGGGAAAGACCGGUGCCAGCCGCCGCGGUAAUACCGGCAGCUCAAGUGGUCGUCGCUUUUAUUGGGCCUAAAACGUCCGUAGCCUGUUUGGUAAAUCUGUGGGUAAAUCAACCAGCUCAACUGGUUGAAUUCUGCAGAGACUGCCUCACUAGGAACCGGGAGAGGUGUGAGGUACUCGAGGGGUAGCGGUAAAAUGUUGUCAUCCUUCGAGGACCACCAGUUGCGAAGGCGUCACACUGGAACGGAUUCGACGGUCAGGGACGAAGCCUAGGGGCACGAACCGGAUUAGAUACCCGGGUAGUCCUAGGUGUAAACGCUGUGAACUUGGUGUCGGGGAUCCGCAAGGGGUUCCCGGUGCCGGAGUGAAGAUGUUAAGUUCACUGCCUGGGGAGUACGGUCGCAAGGCUGAAACUUAA